rnacentral:rRNA from 1 species
UUUCGGCCGGGGAUUAGUGGCGAACGGGUGAGUAACACGUGGGCAAUCUGCCCUGCACUCCGGGACAAGCCCUGGAAACGGGGUCUAAUACCGGAUAUGACUGCCGACCGCAUGGUCUGGUGGUGGAAAGCUCCGGCGGUGCAGGAUGAGCCCGCGGCCUAUCAGCUUGUUGGUGGGGUGAUGGCCUACCAAGGCGACGACGGGUAGCCGGCCUGAGAGGGCGACCGGCCACACUGGGACUGAGACACGGCCCAGACUCCUACGGGAGGCAGCAGUGGGGAAUAUUGCACAAUGGGCGCAAGCCUGAUGCAGCGACGCCGCGUGAGGGAUGACGGCCUUCGGGUUGUAACCUCUUUCAGCAGGGAAGAAGCGCAAGUGACGGUACCUGCAGAAGAAGCGCCGGCUAACUACGUGCCAGCAGCCGCGGUAAUACGUAGGGCGCAAGCGUUGUCCGGAAUUAUUGGGCGUAAAGAGCUCGUAGGCGGCUUGUCGCGUCGGAUGUGAAAGCCCGGGGCUUAACUCCGGGUCUGCAUUCGAUACGGGCAGGCUAGAGUUCGGUAGGGGAGAUCGGAAUUCCUGGUGUAGCGGUGAAAUGCGCAGAUAUCAGGAGGAACACCGGUGGCGAAGGCGGAUCUCUGGGCCGAUACUGACGCUGAGGAGCGAAAGCGUGGGGAGCGAACAGGAUUAGAUACCCUGGUAGUCCAC